rnacentral:rRNA from 1 species
UGGGGAAUAUUGCACAAUGGGCGAAAGCCUGAUGCAGCAAUGCCGCGUGAGUGAUGAAGGCCUUCGGGUUGUAAAGCUCUGUCUUUUGGGACGAUAAUGACGGUACCAAAGGAGGAAGCCACGGCUAACUACGUGCCAGCAGCCGCGGUAAUACGUAGGUGGCAAGCGUUGUCCGGAUUUACUGGGCGUAAAGGAUGCGUAGGCGGAUUUUUAAGUGAGAUGUGAAAUACCCGGGCUUAACUUGGGUGCUGCAUUUCAAACUGGGAAUCUAGAGUGCGGGAGAGGAGAAUGGAAUUCCUAGUGUAGCGGUGAAAUGCGUAGAGAUUAGGAAGAACACCAGUGGCGAAGGCGAUUCUCUGGACCGUAACUGACGCUGAGGCAUGAAAGCGUGGGGUAGCAAACAGGAUUAGAUACCCUGGUAGUCCACGCCGUAAACGAUGAGUACUAGGUGUAGGAGGUAUCGACCCCUUCUGUGCCGCAGUUAACACAAUAAGUACUCCGCCUGGGAAGUACGAUCGCAAGAUU